ACCUGACUGGCUCAGUUUGUAGAGCAUGUGACUCUUAAUCUCGGGGUUAUGAGUUUGAGCCCCAUAUUGGGUG
rnacentral:tRNA from 1 species